rnacentral:rRNA from 1 species
UACGUAGGGGGCAAGCGUUGUCCGGAAUCAUUGGGCGUAAAGAGCGUGUAGGCGGCCCGGUAAGUCCGCUGUGAAAGUCGGGGGCUCAACCCUCGAAUGCCGGUGGAUACUGUCGGGCUAGAGUGCGGAAGAGGCGAGUGGAAUUCCUGGUGUAGCGGUGAAAUGCGCAGAUAUCAGGAGGAACACCAAUUGCGAAGGCAGCUCGCUGGGACGUAACUGACGCUGGAGACGCGAAAGCGUGGGGAGCAAACAGG